UCUAUUAUAUUUUCUUAAUUAUAUAUGCAAUAUGAGAUACCCCAGUGUAUCUAGUUUCUGACUUCUGAAAGCAAGUUGGUCUUGACGGCCUGCUGGCUAGGUUCCUGUGAUAUGUUGUUCACUGUGCUGUGUCUAACCUGUUCAUUGAUUUCAAUGGGUUUCUUACUCGCAGAUUCGUUAGAUGUUCAUUAUAUUUCAUUUCUGUCAUAAAUGGCUAAAGAUCCAACGCGAUUAAACAGUUCCUAUAGCAAUUAAGACACGGAUUAGACACCUAGCCUUUUCAGCCUUGUCUGUUGACAGUCUAGCUGUCAUGUGGUCUGUCAUGUUUCCUUAUAACUUUGGUGGAUAGUUCACAAUUAAUCUACAUGUUGUACAUAUUAUACGCUUUGUAAUAUAUUAUCAGCUGAGUGAACUGCUGUCUUAGAAGUGUCUUUCUCCGUCAGAAUGUCGACCUCGUCUCUACUGAUACUCUAUGGGAGCCAGACUGGAACUUCUCAGGACACAGCAGAACGGAUUGGUCGACAGGCGCUCAGAAGGCGGAUGCUAGUCAGAGUGGAAGCUCUCGACAGUUACAGUGUGUGCAACCUCAUCUCUGAGUCUCUGGUUGUCUUUGUGUGCUCUACUUCUGGCGAAGGUGAUCCUCCAGACAAUAUGAAGAAUUUCUGGCGGUUCCUGUUUAGGAAAUCACUUCCAGCUGGUUCUCUAUGUCGCCUUGACUGUGCUGUGCUGGGUCUGGGAGACUCAUCAUAUUCCAAGUUCAACUUUGUAGCUAAGAAGCUUUAUAAGCGACUUUUGCAGCUGGGGGCCAAUGUGUUACUGCCUGUGGGGUUGGCGGAUGACCAACAUGAUUUGGGUGCAAACGGCGUGAUCGACCCCUGGCUCAUAUCGUUCUGGGAGAAGGUUCUCGCCCUUUAUCCUCUUCCCACCGGUACCAGACAGCUCAGCGACAGUGAGCCGCUCCCCCCAAGAUACGUUUUCCGUUUACUGGGCAAUUCUAUAGAGAAGGCCUCUGACAGGCUGAGGAUGCCAGAGAAUGAGACCACACCUUCUCAGUCUAACCCCUUCCCGGCUAGGAUGGUGUCUAAUCUGAGAGUGACCCACACCUCUCAUUUUCAAGAUGUCCGGCACAUGGAGUUUGACAUAACAGGCUCGAAUAUAGAGUUCACAGCUGGUGACGUGGUGAUGAUGCGUCCCUGUAAUGCCGUUGAGGAUGUAGAACAGUUUUGUCAGCUACUAAGACUGAACCCUGACACCCAGUUUACACUUGUCCCAACAGAUGACAGUUCAGCCCCGGUCCCGUCCCAGAUUCCCCAGCCCUGCACGGUGCGCUACCUUGUUGAGAACUUCCUGGACAUUGCCGCCGUGCCACGACGCUCAUUCUUUGAGCAGCUGACCACCUUUGCCACUAACGAGCUGGAGCUUGAGAAGCUGACUGAGUUUAGCUCCGCCCAGGGUCAGGAUGAACUACAUGGCUACUGCAACAGGCCCCGGCGCACUGCUCUAGAGGUUUUAACAGACUUCCCUCACACUACUGCAGAGCUAAAGCCAGACUACCUAUUGGACCUGUUCCCUGAGAUCCAGCCUCGCUCAUUCUCCAUCGCCUCUUCCCAAAAGUUGCAUCCCAAUAUAAUCCAGAUCCUACUAGCUGUGGUGUGCUACAAGACCAAGAUGCAGAAACCUCGCAGAGGCCUUUGUUCCUCUUGGCUGGCCUCCUUGGAUCCCAUGUCAGGGGACGUAUACGUGCCUCUGUGGGUGAAGAAGGGGAGUCUAAAGUUUCCUAAAGACCCUGCCUCUCCUGUGAUAAUGGUUGGUCCCGGGACAGGGGUGGCUCCCUUCAGGUCUGCUGUCCAGGAGAGGGCAGCCCAGUGUAGGACAGUUAAUGUGUUGUUUUUUGGCUGCCGGUCCGAGUACAAAGAUUUCUACUGUCGCACUGAAUGGGAGGAGAUGGAAAGGGCCGGGCACCUCACUUUGUUCACUGCAUUUUCAAGAGACCAGGAGGACAAGAUUUAUGUACAACAUCGUGUCAAGGACCAGGCCAAACUUCUGUGGGAUCUGAUUGCCAAUAAGAAUGCCUACUUUUACAUUGCUGGCAAUGCCAAACAGAUGCCAUCAAGCGUAUGUGACGCAUUGAAGAUGGUCUUUCAGAGCGAAGGGGGUGUGUCCUCAGAGGAGGCUGAACAGAUGCUGGUUGCCAUGGAGAAAGCAGGCCGUCUCCAGAGAGAAACCUGGUCCUAAUUUACUGACCACUGUGUUCACAGAUUGGGGAUCCUAUCUACCUUAAUUGGCAAUAGUAGCAUUAUUGUAUGGCAAAACAACAUUGGUCUUGUGUAUGCUUACUACAUUUUGCAAAUUAGGUUUUGCCAACCUUAAAAUGUUGACAAAGGGGAUUGUUUUGAAAGGCUGUGAAGAGUUGUGAUAUCCACUGUUUAUUGGAGUACUUUAAGAGUAUUUUGAAUGUUUGAAUACUUUAUUUCAAGCAGAUAAAAGUUCAAAAGUAACUUCUUUAACUGCCAAACACAACUAAAUUAUCUAUACCCCUCAUGGCCCACUUCUAUAACAUUUCCUAUACUUUAACCAGGUGUGAAAUUAUGGACAGAUUUUAAUAUUUUUCUGAUUUUGAUUGACAAAAUGAAUAUUUCUAGUUAAUUGUGAGCUGCAUGGUUGAAAGGAUCUGAAUAUUAGGACAUAUUUGCUGCUUUGUAUAAUGUGUAGUAUGACAUGACCAUGCUGUAUGUACAUUUGUGUAAAUAAUUGCCUAGUUUAUGCAAUUCAAUUAUGCAGUUAUUUAUUGUUCCAAUUUAAGCCUUUAGAAAUUAGGUCAGAUUAGAAAAUGCAGAGGUAAAUUUGUGUCAGUUUAAAUCUAAACUCAACGAUAAAAUAUACACAACACUGAUUAUAUUUCUGUAAAUAUAUAUUUAAUU